GCAUUUAAAAAUAACAAAUUUUAGUGUAGCAAUGGCAAUACCGCAACACUGUAAAACCAUGGUAUUUUCUUAUACCGGCCCAUGCCUACUACGCGGUUGUACCAUGUGUUAGAAACAUCAAGAUUCUCAAAUUUUAAGGGCUAGUGCAAUACCACAGUUUUGGCUAUUCUUCAUGUUCUCUAGGGCAGUUAUUUUGCACCAGUGACAGAAACAGUGACCAAAUAAUUCAUUACCUUAUCUACAUGUGAAGGAAGAUUUUUGGCCUGCACUUUCACAGCUGGUAAACAUGGAUUGUGGUGGCCUAGUGACAGAAUGAAGAAGAUCAGUUUAAAAUUUGCUUUACAACCAGAGUUUGCAUUAAACUUUCUCAAUGUCUGUCAUUUUGACAGACACGGGCUGUAAGAAAAUUGUCAAAAUCAAUAAUAAUAUGAGGCAACUGCCAAACAAUUACAACUAAACUCAAUCAAAUAUCUUAAUGUGCCUGAACUCAAAUCUUGUGGUCUAUAAAGUGGGAGUUUAUCUGUGUGUAAUUCAACCAUCAUGUUAGACUGAAGGAGUUGCAGUUAUCAUUAGAUUUCACGACAACACUGGACAAAUUACUUCUCACACUCAGUGUGACUUGAGACAAAGGAUAAACAAAGACAUUGAGUAUGUUUACAUGCACAUAAUAAGAGGACAAUUAUCUUAUUAUGAUAUUAUAAAAAUCAGCUUAUUACAUUAACAUGUUUCAAGCGUUUUAAUUUACUUUUAUUUGUGAAGUUUAUCUAUCACAGGUGGAGACAUACGCACAUACGAAACGGCAAAAAAGACGUUAAAAUCUGGGUUAAGAGCAAAAAACUACCUGCGCCAAUCAGUUUUUGCCAUUUAUGGGCUUUACCCUAUAAAAGAAAAUCGUUAUAUGCAUUUAAAUGACCUUACACGUUAUCAGUUUAUUAAGCGUUUAGACUAUGUAGACACACUUACUGUGCACUAAGAUAAAAAAAUUGGUUAACACGACCACUCGUGGUGGCUUCACUCAGAGGUUGGAGAAGACAACCUGUGGACUAAACAUCAAGCCUCUGCACGAUUCAGAAUUAAGACAACCUUAGCAGGAGAGCCCCAGCAGUAACUUUCUCUCAAGCAGAUGAGCAAUAAGUUGCUUUGUAUGAACUAGGGAUGCUGCGAUCAGGAUUUUUGCAGGCCGAUACCGAUCACCGAUUUGUUGUCUUCGUGAUCUGCCGAUACCAAUGCCGAUACCGAUUUUUCAAGCUGAUAUGCAAGCUCUUUGAUGACUGUAACUUUUAAAAAUUUUUCUAGAUAAAGUAAUACCACAGAUGUUGCCUUUGUUAUAUUACUUGCAGUAAUUAGGUAUAUUAUUGUUUUAAUAUAGAAUCAAAUAAAUUAGCACAACAAAUAUUUCUUCUGCAAAGAGAAAUUUAAUAUGCCUUUAAAAAGGCUUAUGUCUGUAAAAACUAAUGAAAAUAAAACACUUCACAGUCUUUACUGUAUGAAUUAAAUAUACACGCAUUCGUAUGAAGUACAACAGUUCUUUAGUGAAGAGCAGAGAGUGAUUUUAUUGAAGGAUGAAUUAGGUUACUGCAGCUUUAAGACUUGUGGGUGGAUCACCGGGUGGAUCAUCAAGACUAUUGGUCCUCCUAGUUGUCAAUCUGGAGUGUUGCGCAAUUGCAUUUUUUUUAAAAAGCGGAGACGGCGUUUCUUUUCUAAAAUUCGAGAAAAUCCUCCGCUACACCUUUAAGUGGAACAUUUUUAUAGCAUGCUGCUUAUAGCUAGUGAGAAAGAUAAUCUAAUUGAUCUACCAUGCAUAUCCUUCAAAUAACUUAACAUAACAACUGAACAUGUUAUUUAAUAUGUACAUCAUUAAUAAUAAUUGUAAAUAAUAUUUAAUAUUUGUGAAAUUAUAUACUUGUGAAUUCAUAUUUGCAAUGUUUAUACAUUACCUGUUUUUAGGUAAACAGAUUAUCCAUCAGUGGAUGUCAUGCAAAAAAUAGCCUCAAGGUCGGCUCUGUAAAUACUGUAAUCUGCAUGUUUCCGAGCACACGUUUACCAGGACACACUAAUAUUAAACAGAAAAACAACAUAAAUCAGUGUUAAACACAAACAAAUUUUAGGUAAAUUAAAUAAGGUUUUAAUUUUCAAUCAAUAUAAAAGAAAUAAACGCAAUAAAACAAUGUCAGUGACGUAAUAAAUAUGUGUAAAUUUACACGCAUCAUUUAUUAAGCAUUAUAAAAAAUCCAGCAAUAUUAUUAAACUUUGGUUAUUUGUUAUUAUCCCUGCAUUCAAAUUGCAGGUUGGAGCAGGAAGUUAACCCUUCUGUCGCGCAAGCGCGAGCUGGUCGCGAGGCCAUUCGUACGUCAUGUGAGCGCCAUUUUCAUCAUAUGACCGUUAUUUCCUCAGGCACACUUCAACAUUUUCUUCGCAUUUAACAUCAUUAUUAACAUGUAAAUAAUAUAAUUCGUAAACAUAACGUUUAUGUUCAUUUAUAAUAUGUUUUUUUUUGUAAUUGUUGGCUUUAAGUUAAUUUUUCUGUCAGUUUGUUCGUGUUGUUUUCUACAGUAGCCUGUUAACAGUAGACCAAAGGUAUGAUGAUCAAUUAUAAAUGCAAUAUGGUUGAAACCUCAGUAAACAAACAACAAAAAGGUAAUUUCUUAAUAGAAUGUCUGUACAUUUUUUGCUUUUGUUACAUAUUUCAUACAUCAAAAUCCUUAAACGUUAAUAAUUAUGUAUUCCAACUUGUUGCAGCUUGACAAAAAUGUAGCUUGAAGGAGAAGGGACAGCUGAGAAACAAAGUCCUGGUACGCAGACGACGAUACUAUUACACUGACAAGAGUGUAAUGAUGAUGGAGACACAAGCCAGAGAAAGGGGGGACCAAACACCAGGCCAGAAUUCUGCAUGAGUCAGCUCCAGUGGGUGCAGAUCAUCAUACAGAUGGUUCAAGUGUGGAUCCACCUAAUAUUCAAGAUUUUCUGUCCUGGGACACUCGGCUAACCAUCAAGAAAGAACACAGAAGCUCCAGUGGGCAUCCUUUAUCCAUCCAGACCCUCAUACAGAUGGUUGGAGUUUUGAUUCACCUAAAGUACCAUGCAAGAGCACUCAUUUUCACUCUUGAGACCAUGGUGUGACCUGCAAGGUCGAAUGGAGACUGUAAACGAGACAAUCUUGGAGUCACCUGCAUUCACUGGUCCAGUUGUUAGUCCAAUUACAGAUGGAGAUUAUAGAAGAGGAUGAUGUCUUUUCUCCAACAUCUUUCUAGACUGAUAAAAGAUCUAGAAAGGCUUGAACAAAAGUUAACAGAGGGGCUUAUAUAGAGAAUGGUGAGCAGCUACACAUAAAAGAAGAACAUGGAGAAUCUGCCCAGAGGUGUUAACCAGCAAUGCAGCUAUACAACUAAAUUGAUGCAGGCGGAAACAAUGUGUAAUGCAGCUGCAGAUGAAGAAUCCGUCCGUCUACCACUGAAGGAGACGCGGAAAUUCCUUCCAAGAUGUUCUUUGCCCGAGGAAGCAUUUGAUUAAUUUAAAGAUAUUGUGUUUCUUUGUAUGUUACAGAAAAACGUUGCUUUUUUGCAUACACUCGUGUAAAUAUGCAUCUUAUGAAUGUUUUCCUUUGUCUAAUUUUAAUAAAUUUUACGCAAUCAA